CACGUAGGGGGCGAGCGUUGUCCGGAUUUAUUGGGCGUAAAGAGCUCGUAGGCGGCUCGGUAAGUGAGGUGUGAAAACUCCAGGCUCAACCUGGAGACGCCACUUGAUACUGCUGUGACUGGAGUCCGGUAGGGGAGCGUGGAAUUCCUGGUGUAGCGGUGAAAUGCGCAGAUAUCAGGAGGAACACCAGCGGCGAAGGCGGCGCUCUGGGCCGGUACUGACACUGAGGAGCGAAAGCGUGGGUAGCAAACAGG
rnacentral:rRNA from 1 species